AACGGAGGGUGCAAGCGUUGUUCGGAAUUACUGGGCGUAAAGCGCGUGCAGGUGGUUUUUUAAGUUCUGUGUGAAAUCCCCGGGCUUAACCUGGGAACUGCCUUUGUGACUGUGCGGCUAGAGUGUGUCAGAGGGGGGUAGAAUUCCACGUGUAGCAGUGAAAUGCGUAGAUAUGUGGAGGAAUACCGAUGGCGAAGGCAGCCCCCUGGGAUAACACUGACGCUCAUGCACGAAAGCGUGGGGAGCAAACAGG
rnacentral:rRNA from 1 species